rnacentral:rRNA from 1 species
AACGAACGCUGGCGGCAGGCUUAACACAUGCAAGUCGAGCGCCCCGCAAGGGGAUCGGCAGACGGGUGAGUACCGCGUGGUAACUUACCCUUAUCUUCGGGAUAGCUCCUGGAAACUGGAAUUAAUACCGAAUGUGCCCUUUGGGGUAAAGAUUUAUCGGAUAAGGAUCGGCCCGAGUUGGAUUAGCUAGUUGGUUGGGUAAAGGCCUACCAAGGCGACGAUCCAUAGCUGGUCUGAGAGGAUGAUCAGCCACAUUGGGACUGAGACACGGCCCAAACUCCUACGGGAGGCAGCAGUGGGGAAUAUUGGACAAUGGGGGCAAGCCUGAUGCAGCCAUGACGCGUGAGUGAUGAAGGCCUUAGGGUUGUAAAGCUAUUUCACCGGAGAAGAUAAUGACGGUAUCAGGAGAAGAAGCCCCGGCUAACUUCGUG